GCUGGCGGCGUGCCUAACACAUGCAAGUCGAACGGUAACAGGUCCUUCGGGACGCUGACGAGUGGCGCACGGGUGAGUAACGCGUGGAUAUCUGCCUAUUAGUGGGGGACAACUACGGGAAACCGUAGCUAAUACCGCAUAAGCUCUACGGAGGAAAGCAGGGGACCCCUCGGGGCCUUGCGCUGAUAGAUGAGUCCGCGUCUGAUUAGCUAGUUGGUAAGGUAAUGGCUUACCAAGGCGAUGAUCAGUAACUGGUUUGAGAGGAUGAUCAGUCACACUGGAACUGAGACACGGUCCAGACUCCUACGGGAGGCAGCAGUGGGGAAUAUUGCACAAUGGGCGAAAGCCUGAUGCAGCGACGCCGCGUGCGGGAAGAAGGCCUUCGGGUUGUAAACCGCUUUCAAUUGGGAAGAAGAGAUGAGGGCUAAUAUCCCUCUGAUUUGACGGUACCUUUAGAAGAAGCACCGGCUAAUUUCGUGCCAGCAGCCGCGGUAAUACGAAAGGUGCAAGCGUUGUUCGGAUUUACUGGGCGUAAAGAGAUCGUAGGUGGCUUGUUAAGUCGGAUGUGAAAUCCCGGGGCUCAACCCCGGAACUGCAUUCGAUACUGGCAGGCUAGAGUUUGGGAGGGGUAAGCGGAAUUCCGUGUGUAGCAGUGAAAUGCGUAGAUAUACGGAGGAACACCUGAGGCGAAGGCGGCUUACUGGACCAAUACUGACACUGAGGAUCGAAAGCGUGGGUAGCAAACAGGAUUAGAUACCCUGGUAGUCCACGCCCUAAACGAUGUCAACUAGCCGUUGCGGGUAUCGACCCCUGCAGUGGCGAAGCUAACGCGAUAAGUUGACCGCCUGGGGAGUACGGUCGCAA
rnacentral:rRNA from 1 species